GGCCCUUCGGGGUACUCGAGUGGCGAACGGGUGAGUAACACGUGGGUGAUCUGCCCUGCACUCUGGGAUAAGCCUGGGAAACUGGGUCUAAUACCGGAUAGGACCACACACUUCAUGGUGAGUGGUGCAAAGCUUUUGCGGUGUGGGAUGAGCCCGCGGCCUAUCAGCUUGUUGGUGGGGUAAUGGCCCACCAAGGCGACGACGGGUAGCCGGCCUGAGAGGGUGACCGGCCACACUGGGACUGAGAUACGGCCCAGACUCCUACGGGAGGCAGCAGUGGGGAAUAUUGCACAAUGGGCGCAAGCCUGAUGCAGCGACGCCGCGUGAGGGAUGACGGCCUUCGGGUUGUAAACCUCUUUCAGUAGGGACGAAGCGAAAGUGACGGUACCUACAGAAGAAGGACCGGCCAACUACGUGCCAGCAGCCGCGGUAAUACGUAGGGUCCGAGCGUUGUCCGGAAUUACUGGGCGUAAAGAGCUCGUAGGUGGUUUGUCGCGUUGUUCGUGAAAACUCACAGCUUAACUGUGGGCGUGCGGGCGAUACGGGCAGACUAGAGUACUGCAGGGGAGACUGGAAUUCCUGGUGUAGCGGUGGAAUGCGCAGAUAUCAGGAGGAACACCGGUGGCGAAGGCGGGUCUCUGGGCAGUAACUGACGCUGAGGAGCGAAAGCGUGGGUAGCGAACAGGAUUAGAUACCCUGGUAGUCCACGCCGUAAACGGUGGGUACUAGGUGUGGGUUUCCUUCCUUGGGAUCCGUGCCGUAGCUAACGCAUUAAGUACCCCGCCUGGGGAGUACGGUCGCAAGACUAAAACUCAAAGGAAUUGACGGGGGCCCGCACAAGCGGCGGAGCAUGUGGAUUAAUUCGAUGCAACGCGAAGAACCUUACCUGGGUUUGACAUGCACAGGACGUACCUAGAGAUAGGUAUUCCCUUGUGGCCUGUGUGCAGGUGGUGCAUGGCUGUCGUCAGCUCGUGUCGUGAGAUGUUGGGUUAAGUCCCGCAACGAGCGCAACCCUUGUCCUAUGUUGCCAGCGGGUAAUGCCGGGGACUCGUAGGAGACUGCCGGGGUCAACUCGGAGGAAGGUGGGGAUGACGUCAAGUCAUCAUGCCCCUUAUGUCCAGGGCUUCACACAUGCUACAAUGGCCAGUACAGAGGGCUGCGAAGCCGCAAGGUGGAGCGAAUCCCUUAAAGCUGGUCUCAGUUCGGAUUGGGGUCUGCAACUCGACCCCAUGAAGUCGGAGUCGCUAGUAAUCGCAGAUCAGCAACGCUGCGGUGAAUACGUUCCCGGGCCUUGUACACACCGCCCGUCACGUCAUGAAAGUCGGUAACACCCGAAGCCAGUGGCCUAACCUUUUGGAGGGAGCUGUCGAAGGUGGGAUCGGCG
rnacentral:rRNA from 2 species